rnacentral:rRNA from 1 species
CCUACGGGAGGCAGCAGUGGGGAAUUUUGGACAAUGGGCGCAAGCCUGAUCCAGCAAUGCCGCGUGAGUGAAGAAGGCCUUCGGGUUGUAAAGCUCUUUUGUCAGGGAAGAAACGGUGGGGGCUAAUAUCUCCUACUAAUGACGGUACCUGAAGAAUAAGCACCGGCUAACUACGUGCCAGCAGCCGCGGUAAUACGUAGGGUGCAAGCGUUAAUCGGAAUUACUGGGCGUAAAGCGUGCGCAGGCGGUUUUGUAAGUCUGUCGUGAAAGCCCCGGGCUCAACCUGGGAAUUGCGAUGGAGACUGCAAGGCUUGAAUCUGGCAGAGGGGGGUAGAAUUCCACGUGUAGCAGUGAAAUGCGUAGAGAUGUGGAGGAACACCGAUGGCGAAGGCGGCCCCCUGGGUCAAGAUUGACGCUCAUGCACGAAAGCGUGGGGAGCAAACAGGAUUAGAUACCCUGGUAGUCCACGCCCUAAACGAUGUCUACUAGUUGUCGGGUUUUAAUUAACUUGGUAACGCAGCUAACGCGUGAAGUAGACCGCCUGGGGAGUACGGUCGCAAGAUUAAAACUUAAAUGAAUUGACGG